UACAGAGGUCCCAAGCGUUGUUCGGAUUCACUGGGCGUAAAGGGUGCGUAGGUGGCCAGGUAAGUUCGGUGUGAAAGCUCGGAGCUUAACUCCGAAAUGGCAUUGAAUACUAUCUGGCUGGAGGGUCGGAGGGGAGACUGGAAUUCUCGGUGUAGCAGUGAAAUGCGUAGAUAUCGAGAGGAACACCAGUGGCGAAGGCGAGUCUCUGGGCCAUAACUGACGCUGAGAAGCGAAAAGCAUGGGGGAGCGAACAGG
rnacentral:rRNA from 1 species